GACGAACGCUGGCGGCGUGCUUAACACAUGCAAGUCGAACGAUGAUCUCCCGCUUGCGGGGGUGAUUAGUGUCGAACGGGUGAGUAAUACGUGAGUAACCUGCCCUUGACUCUGGGAUAAGCCUGGUAAACCGGGUCUAAUACUCGAUACUACUUCCUGCCGCAUGUUGGGUGUUGGAAAGGGUUUUACUGGUUUUGGAUGGACUCACGGCCUCUCAGCUUGUUGGUGUAGUAAUGGCUCACCAAGGCGACGACGGGUAGCCGGCCUGAGAGGGUGACAGGCCACACAGGGACUGAGAAAGGGCCCAGACUGAUACGGGAGGAAGCAGUGGGGAAUAUUGCAAAAUGGGCGGAAGCCGGAUGCAGCGACGCCGCGUGAGGGAUGACGGCCUUAGGGUUGUAAACCGCUUUCAGCAGGGAAGAAGACACAAGUGACGGUACCUGCAGAAGAAGCGCCGGCUAACUACGU
rnacentral:rRNA from 1 species